rnacentral:rRNA from 1 species
AUUGAACGCUGGCGGCAUGCCUUACACAUGCAAGUCGAACGGCAGCACGGGAGCAAUCCUGGUGGCGAGUGGCGAACGGGUGAGUAAUAUAUCGGAACGUGCCCAGUCGUGGGGGAUAACGUAGCGAAAGCUACGCUAAUACCGCAUACGAUCUACGGAUGAAAGCGGGGGAUCGCAAGACCUCGCGCGAUUGGAGCGGCCGAUAUCAGAUUAGCUAGUUGUGGGGUAAAAGCUCACCAAGGCGACGAUCUGUAGCGGGUCUGAGAGGAUGAUCCGCCACACUGGAACUGAGACACGGUCCAGGACUCCUACGGGAGGCAGCAGUGGGGAAUUUUGGACAAUGGGGGCAACCCUGAUCCAGCCAUGCCGCGUGAGUGAAGAAGGCCUUCGGGUUGUAAGCUACUUUCGGUCCGGGAAGAAUCGCGCAGGUUAAUACCCUAGUGUGGAUGACGGUACCGGAAUAAGAAGCACCGGCUAACUACGUGCC